AGGGUCCAUUAUCCCGAGAUCAUGCGGUGCGUCCAAGUCCUUCUUGAACGGGGCCACAGCCCAUAGAGGGUGCCAGGCCCGUAGCGACCGCCGCUGAUCGCGGGAGGAUCUCUCCUCAGAGUCGGGUUGCUUGAGAGUGCAGCCCUAAGUGGGUGGUAAACUCCAUCUAAGGCUAAAUAUGACCACGAGACCGAUAGCGAACAAGUACCGUGAGGGAUAGUUGAAAAGCACUUUGAAGAGAGAGUUCAAGAGUACGUGAAACCGUUUAGGGGUAAACCUGAGAAGCCCGAAAGGUCGAAGGGAGAAAUUCAUUCGCGUUUCGUCGCUGGCGUUAGGCGGUCGUGUGACGGGGAGCGUUUCGGCGUUUUCCGCACCUUCAGUCUCUCGAACCGGCGGCGUACGCGUGCACUUUUCUCCUGGUAGGACGUCGCGAUCCGUUGAGCGUCGGUCUACGGCUCGCGGUGGAGCCCGUUCGUCGAUUCGUCGUACGAACGGACCCGCGUGUCCCGGCUGACUCGCUCGACGGUAUACGAAAGGUUUAAGGCCGCUCUUGGAGCGUUCGGCUCGCGGCAAGCGCGCCAGAUGCGUUGGCGAUCGGACCUAGUGCCGAUUCUGACCUCUGGUGACUGUUGUCCGUGAAGUUCUCGAACAGACCUUAAGACCGAUCUGCGACGCUAUAG
rnacentral:rRNA from 1 species